GAACAAUGCACUCUGCUGGUAUUUCACUGCUGGCUCUAGCUCUGAUGGUUUUCCUUUGAUUCCUCCAGAUCAGAGCCCUCUCCAGCAUCACCUUCACAGCGAAAAAGACACAAACCCAACGGCUCAACACUUGCAAGGCAGAGCAGUGCUGCAGCCCCGUGUGCCCUUCGACUCACUCCCUUUCCCUCGGCCAGGCCUCAAGCAGAGCAGUGAUUGAAGAGAGGUGGAGCCCCAUGACUGAUUCCCCUGAGAACAUAACUCUGGUUUCUCUGACACCCUGAACAAGAGCGAGAUGUCAGGAUCCUUCCUUAGGGCUGCUGCAUGAGAGGGAUGGACUGGUGACACUGAUGCUACAUCACCUCUUCUGAGCACAGGAGCUGAGUUCCACGUUUGGCAGCUCCAGGAUGAACUGGUGGCAUUUCCUUGACUCCAGUGGCGAUCGAUUCCAUUUGGAGCCUGUAGCAACUGAUGUCCAGGGGAGCCCAAGUCCCA
rnacentral:lncRNA from 1 species